rnacentral:lncRNA from 1 species
AUGUGUUGCUCUUGCAGAGGAUCUGGAUUUUGUUCCUAGCAUCCACGUGGAGCAGCACACAGUUCAAGGGAUAUGCUGCUCUCUUCUGGCCUCUAAGGGUACCCAUGCAUGUGUACCUGUGUGCACACACACAUAUACAUAAUGCAACAAAUAUUUUUUAAUAAAAGAAUCUUUGUGGAG